rnacentral:rRNA from 1 species
GAAAGGACAAGAGAGACAAGGCCUCCUUAGUACUAAGGCGCCUUCUAGCUCAACAGAUGACUUAGAUCUCAAUCUGGCAUGCAAUAAUCACANCUACCCCUAGACCAGGGCUA